UAGACUCAAUAAGUGAGUGUAUGUGUUAAAGAAUCUCUCUGACAUGAACCGAAGUCCUCUCUCUCUCUGCCUGCCCUAUCAGGUUUAGACUCAAUAAGUGAGUGUAUGUGUUAAAGAAUCUCUCUCUGACAUGAACCGAAGUCCUCUCUCUCUCUGCCUGCCCUAUCAGGUUUAGACUCAAUAAGUGAGUGUAUGUGUUAAAGAAUCUCUCUCUGACAUGAACCGAAGUCCUCUCUCUCUCUGCCUGCCCUAUCAGGUUCUCCACCACGCGAGUCGACUCGCAAUGUGUGUGUGUUAACAUUGGUCUCUCUCUGACUCUCCUUCUUCUUUUUUUCUCUCUGAGAUGAACCGAAGUCCUCUCUCUCUCUGCUUCCCUAUCGGGUUCUCAACCACACGAGUCUGACUUGCAAUGUGUGUGUUAACAUUGGUCUCUCUCUGACUCUCCCUUGCCUUUUUUUUUUUUUUUGAAGUGCAAACGAUGAGAAUGGAGCCUAGUUUGUUAUGUUUGGGCUCCUCUCAGUCUAACCACCAGUGCCCCAGCCCCAUUCCCUAAAAUUACUCUUCCUUCUUCAUGUUAACCCGUUUCACUUGAAUAGAACUACUUAUUUC
rnacentral:lncRNA from 1 species